AUCCCAGAUAAGCUUGAGGAUUAUUAAUGAUCCUCAAGUGCUGCUUAUGCUGAUUCAUGGGAGGCCAAAAGUAAAAUGUUGCAAGUUUCGCUGAUAAAUGCCUUUCUCUGAUUAUUACUAUAUCAAAGGCCUUUACUAGUAACUUUGCAAUACACUC